rnacentral:rRNA from 1 species
ACAGGUGCUGCAUGGCUGUCGUCAGCUCGUGUUGUGAAAUGUUGGGUUAAGUCCCGCAACGAGCGCAACCCUUAUCCUUUGUUGCCAGCGGUCCGGCCGGGAACUCAAAGGAGACUGCCAGUGAUAAACUGGAGGAAGGUGGGGAUGACGUCAAGUCAUCAUGGCCCUUACGACCAGGGCUACACACGUGCUACAAUGGCAUAUACAAAGAGAAGCGACCUCGCGAGAGCAAGCGGACCUCAUAAAGUAUGUC